rnacentral:rRNA from 1 species
GUCGAACGAACUCUGGUAUUGAUUGGUGCUUGCAUCAUGAUUUACAUUUGAGUGAGUGGCGAACUGGUGAGUAACACGUGGGAAACCUGCCCAGAAGCGGGGGAUAACACCUGGAAACAGAUGCUAAUACCGCAUAACAACUUGGACCGCAUGGUCCGAGCUUGAAAGAUGGCUUCGGCUAUCACUUUUGGAUGGUCCCGCGGCGUAUUAGCUAGAUGGUGGGGUAACGGCUCACCAUGGCAAUGAUACGUAGCCGACCUGAGAGGGUAAUCGGCCACAUUGGGACUGAGACACGGCCCAAACUCCUACGGGAGGCAGCAGUAGGGAAUCUUCCACAAUGGACGAAAGUCUGAUGGAGCAACGCCGCGUGAGUGAAGAAGGGUUUCGGCUCGUAAAACUCUGUUGUUAAAGAAGAACAUAUCUGAGAGUAACUGUUCAGGUAUUGACGGUAUUUAACCAGAAAGCCACGGCUAACUACGUGCCAACAGCCGCGGUAAUACGUAGGUGGCAAGCGUUGUCCGGAUUUAUUGGGCGUAAAGCGAGCGCAGGCGGUUUUUUAAAUCUGAUGUGAAAGCCUUCGGCUCAACCGAAGAAGUGCAUCGGAAACUGGGAAACUUGAGUGCAGAAAAAGACAAUGGAACUCCAUGUGUAGCGGUGAAAAUGCGUAAUAUAUGGAAGAACACCAGUGGCGAAGGCGGCUGUCUGGUCUGUAACUGACGCUGAGGCUCGAAAGUAUGGGUAGCAAACAGGAUUAGAUACCCUGGUAGUCCAUACCGUAAACGAUGAAUGCUAAGUGUUGGAGGGUUUCCGCCCUUCAGUGCUGCAGCUAACGCAUUAAGCAUUCCGCCUGGGGAGUACGGCCGCAAGGCUGAAACUCAAAGGAAUUGACGGGGGCCCGCACAAGCGGUGGAGCAUGUGGUUUAAUUCGAAGCUACGCGAAGAACCUUACCAGGUCUUGACAUACUAUGCAAAUCUAAGAGAUUAGACGUUCCCUUCGGGGACAUGGAUACAGGUGGUGCAUGGUUGUCGUCAGCUCGUGUCGUGAGAUGUUGGGUUAAGUCCCGCAACGAGCGCAACCCUUAUUAUCAGUUGCCAGCAUUAAGUUGGGCACUCUGGUGAGACUGCCGGUGACAAACCGGAGGAAGGUGGGGAUGACGUCAAAUCAUCAUGCCCCUUAUGACCUGGGCUACACACGUGCUACAAUGGAUGGUACAACGAGUUGCGAACUCGCGAGAGUAAGCUAAUCUCUUAAAGCCAUUCUCAGUUCGGAUUGUAGGCUGCAACUCGCCUACAUGAAGUCGGAAUCGCUAGUAAUCGCGGAUCAGCAUGCCGCGGUGAAUACGUUCCCGGGCCUUGUACACACCGCCCGUCACACCAUGAGAGUUUGUAACACCCAAAGUCGGUGGGGUAACCUUUUAGGAACCAGCCGCCUAAGGUGGGACAGAUGAUUAGGGUGAAGU